AGCCGUGGCUCCGCCCCCCACCCACUCCCCACCCCCCACCCCCGCUCCCCGGGAAUUUCUGCACCAGAAGAAGCCAUCACUAGUGACUUAAAUCCCUGUGUUAGUGCCUUUUCUAUUAUGAUAAAACACCAUGACCGAGAGAACCCUGGUUCCAGCACCACACAGCAGCUCACGCCUGCCUGUUCUCCACCUCCAAGGGUCAGACACCCUCUUCUGGUCUCUGAAUAAACCUGCACACACACACACCACUACCACCAACUACAACAACAACAGCAGCAGCAGCAGCAGCAGGUUUUGGAGCUGGGAGUUAGGGUGCAUGUCUGUAAUCCCAGCACUAAGGCUUCCAGACAGUCUGGGUGACGCCAUCAGCUCUAGGCUUGUCUGAGCUUCAGGGUUCACAGCACAGCCCCUCAUAGAAGGAAGUCAGGACAGGAACGCAAACAGAGCAGGACCUGGAGGCAGGAGCUGAUGCAGAGGCCAUGGAGGGGUGCUGCUUGCUGGCUUGCUUCCCACGGCUUGCUCAGCCUUUCUUACAGACCCAGCCCAGUAAUGGUACCACCCUCAGUGGGCUCUCCCCUAUAAGUCACAAAUUAAGAAAAUGUCCUAAAGGCUUGCCUACAGCCUAGACUUAUGGAGACAUUUUCUUAUUUGAGGCUCCAACGAUUCUAGCUUAUGUAGGGUUGACAUAAAACUAGCCAGCCCUGGUGGGAACAAAAAGAUGUGCUUAUAAAGGAGACUUGAAUUCUUUAGGUUGGAAGGAUGUGGUGUAGUGAAGUCAGAACUCACAACUGAGCGCACAUGCCCUUUGGCUCCCACCUCACCGCAGCAUCUGCUUGUCCUUCAUUCUUCUCUACCCACCCCAGACCAUGUUAUAAAUGAAGCCAGCCACUGUUAGCCCUGCUCCUUACUGAAGAUUUCCUCCUUGAUCUUUGGAGUCUGCUUUCUUUCCGCUGACUGACUCCCUCCCCAACCAUGGUUCCACAUCAACCUCUAGGAGAACAUUAGAUUGGAGCGGGACAGAGAGAAGUCCGGGAAAUGUUCCAGGUGUCUGAUCUCUUGAAUGUGUCGCCUCUCUGGUCAGAAACUGAGCAGCACCCAACACUGUUUCUGCC
rnacentral:lncRNA from 1 species